CCCGGUGUCGGAAGCCCGCGCCCGCAGUGCUCACAGCACUGCCGACACUCCUCUCGCGCUGCUCGACGCGGCGCACUGGGCC
rnacentral:tRNA from 1 species